AGUGAACGCUGGCGGUAGGCCUAACACAUGCAAGUCGAACGGCAGCACAGUAAGAGCUUGCUCUUACGGGUGGCGAGUGGCGGACGGGUGAGGAAUACAUCGGAAUCUACUUUUUCGUGGGGGAUAACGUAGGGAAACUUACGCUAAUACCGCAUACGACCUACGGGUGAAAGCAGGGGAUCUUCGGACCUUGCGCGAUUGAAUGAGCCGAUGUCGGAUUAGCUAGUUGGCGGGGUAAAGGCCCACCAAGGCGACGAUCCGUAUCUGGUCUGAGAGGAUGAUCAGCCACACUGGAACUGAGACACGGUCCAGACUCCUACGGGAGGCAGCAGUGGGGAAUAUUGGACAAUGGGCGCAAGCCUGAUCCAGCCAUACCGCGUGGGUGAAGAAGGCCUUCGGGUUGUAAAGCCCUUUUGUUGGGAAAGAAAAGCAGCAGGUUAAUACCCCGCUGUUCUGACGGUACCCAAAGAAUAAGCACCGGCUAACUUCGU
rnacentral:rRNA from 1 species